rnacentral:sRNA from 4 species
UUCGACUCGAGCGCAGCGAGAGAACGUUGCGUCAGCAACGGCCCGCAGGGCGAGCCACGCAGUGGCGAGUCAUCCUCUAUCACCGACCA